GAGAGUUUGAUCCUGGCUCAGGACGAACGCUGGCGGCACGCUUAACACAUGCAAGUCGAACGAGAGAAGAGGAGCUUGCUUUUCUGAUCUAGUGGCGGACGGGUGAGUAACACGUGAGCAAUCUGCCUUUCAGAGGGGGAUACCGAUUGGAAACGAUCGUUAAUACCGCAUAACAUAAUUGAACCGCAUGAUUUGAUUAUCAAAGAUUUAUCGCUGAAAGAUGAGCUCGCGUCUGAUUAGCUAGUCGGUAAGGUAACGGCUUACCAAGGCGACGAUCAGUAGCCGGACUGAGAGGUUGAUCGGCCACAUUGGGACUGAGACACGGCCCAGACUCCUACGGGAGGCAGCAGUGGGGAAUAUUGCACAAUGGAGGAAACCCUGAUGCAGCGAUGCCGCGUGAGGGAAGAAGGUUUUAGGAUUGUAAACCUCUGUCUUCAGGGACGAAAAAAGACGGUACCUGAGGAGGAAGCUCCGGCUAACUACGUGCCAGCAGCCGCGGUAAUACGUAGGGAGCGAGCGUUGUCCGGAAUUACUGGGUGUAAAGGGAGCGUAGGCGGGAUCGCAAGUCAGAUGUGAAAACUAUGGGCUUAACCCAUAAACUGCAUUUGAAACUGUGGUUCUUGAGUGAAGUAGAGGUAAGCGGAAUUCCUAGUGUAGCGGUGAAAUGCGUAGAUAUUAGGAGGAACAUCAGUGGCGAAGGCGGCUUACUGGGCUUUAACUGACGCUGAGGCUCGAAAGCGUGGGGAGCAAACAGGAUUAGAUACCCUGGUAGUCCACGCCGUAAACGAUGAUUACUAGGUGUGGGGGGACUGACCCCUUCCGUGCCGCAGCAAACGCAAUAAGUAAUCCACCUGGGGAGUACGACCGCAAGGUUGAAACUCAAAGGAAUUGACGGGGGCCCGCACAAGCAGUGGAGUAUGUGGAUUAAUUCGAAGCAACGCGAAGAACCUUACCAGGUCUUGACAUCGUAUGCAUAGCUCAGAGAUGAGUGAAAUCUCUUCGGAGACAUAUAGACAGGUGGUGCAUGGUUGUCGUCAGCUCGUGUCGUGAGAUGUUGGGUUAAGUCCCGCAACGAGCGCAACCCUUACUGUUAGUUGCUACGCAAGAGCACUCUAGCAGGACUGCCGUUGACAAAACGGAGGAAGGUGGGGAUGACGUCAAAUCAUCAUGCCCCUUAUGACCUGGGCCUCACACGUACUACAAUGGCUGUAAACAGAGGGAUGCAAAGCCGCGAGGUGGAGCGAACCCCUAAAAGCAGUCUUAGUUCGGAUUGUAGGCUGCAACCCGCCUACAUGAAGUCGGAAUUGCUAGUAAUCGCAGAUCAGCAUGCUGCGGUGAAUACGUUCCCGGGCCUUGUACACACCGCCCGUCACGCCAUGGGAGUCGGUAACACCCGAAGCCUGUAGUCUAACCGCAAGGAGGACGCAGUCGAAGGUGGGAUUGAUGACUGGGGUGAAGUCGUAACAAGGUAGCCG
rnacentral:rRNA from 1 species